CUCAGGAACGCACUUGCUCAACUCUGGAACGUACGCGCUCAACUCAGGAACGUACGUGCUCAACUCAGGAACGUACGUGCUCAACUCAGGAACGUACGUGCUCAACUCAGGAACGUACGUGCUCAACUCAGGAACGUACGUGCUCAACUCAGGAACGUACGUGCUCAACUCAGGAACGUACGUGCUCAACUCAUGGACGUACGUGCUCAACUCAUGAACGUACGUGCUCAACUCAGGAACGUACGUGCUCAACUCAGGAAGCCGGCGGCGGCGACGUGGGCAGCGGCGGCGGCGUGUGCGGGGCCGGCCUUGGCGCCGCCGGUGCGCGGCCGUGCGCUUGGCGGGGCGGCCAGACGACGGGUUCCUGGGCGCGAGUCUCCUUGUCUGGCGGCGGCCCUCGCCUCGCCGCCCUCCUGCUGCCCCACUCGAAGCCGGCACUCGGCACAGCCCACAGCCAGACAGACACGGUGGUACACGCCAGACAUAACAUUAUAUAUGCAUUUUCAUGUUUGUGAGCCAUAUUUCCGCCCCUGAGUCCUGCGUGGGGAGCGCGGUGCAGCGGGGGAUGCCAAGACUUGAAUAUUUUGAGAAAACACUUGUGUUUUAAUUAGCGGCCGGGAGGUUCACCUUUAAUGACUGGCUCCGCGCCGCUGCUGCCGCCACCAUUUGCUAAGCUCGCCGGCCGCUGGCGGGCCAGCCUCCGAUAUUUUGGCUCCGCGGCUCUUCGGGCCUCCGAGGACCCUCGUGCCGGGACGCGUGGCUCGGGGCCGAUUUUUGGCGUGUCCAGCCGGGCGCCGCGGGCGUGUGCGUGCAGCCGUGGCCAUGGCGGAGGCUGGGGACGGCCCCGCCUCUGGCAGGGUUCACCCGCGCCGCCAUGUUAGUUUCGGGCCUUCAUCAGACGCGCCAUUCAUCGACGCCGCGCCCCCUCGGCCCCCUCCCGCACCCCCCGCCGCCCCGGCUCUCCCAAAGUAGGACGGGCGGCUGGGGGAGCGGCGGGCCGGGAGGAGAGGCUGGGGAACAGCAGGGAGGCGCCCCAGCUGCCCUCAGCAGGGCCCUAUUGUUUUACCAGCGGGUCGCUGCCACUGUUCUCUCCCCGACCUCAGCUGCUUCCCGCCGCGCCACGGGCCAGCACCGCCACCGCCGGCCUCCCACACGUAAUUAACAAGUGUGUGUGAUCAACGUGCGUGGCGUCGUUCAGUAGUGGACAGCGUCUCCCGGAGGCGAGACUCGAGCCACGCGUUGGAAGCCUCCGUCGAGCCGCGCAGAGUUCCUUCGUUGGCGAGGCGGCGCGGGGGCGCAGGAGUCCCGGGCGGCAGGUCCAGCAGAGCCGCCAAGCGUCAGGCGUCUGACGCGCAACUUUUUGGAAAGAGCACGUUGGAAGGGUUGCUGAGACGCCAUGUUUGUUUGAACAGCGGCGGGGUGACUGGCCGCCGUGUGGCCUCGCAUCACAGCCGGGUCUGCUCCCGCCUUCAUCAAAUGGGCUCAGGAGGCUGCCGGCCGGCGGCUCCGCGGCGGCUGGCGUGUGGCCGGUGGGCGGCGCGUUAAAGUCUAGCGGCGCAUCAUCGAGGAGGUUUUUCAAGCGGCAGUGAACCAGAGAUUAGCGGCCGCGGCCCCGCGCUGUUGACUUUAGGGUGUCGUUGGGAAACUAAUUUGUUGACGGAGAGGCUCUCCCGCCCUCGCCUGCCGCCUCUCUUAGACGCCCCCCUGUGUGUGCCCUCUCCUCCCCCCCUUCAGCCGCAAUGAGGCGCUGGUGGCGGCCACGCAGCGUGAGUGUUGACGGGCGCCCUCCGGCAGGAGGUGCCAAAGGCGGGGAGGCUGCUGGGAGGACCGGAGGCUGCGGGAAGAAGAAUACAGACAAGGCACAGACGUUGAGUGGUCGUGUGCCAGACUGGAACGAGAAAAAGGUUAUUAAACACUGAUAACAAACAAACAGACCAACGAGGGAAAGUAAACAACGUAAUGCAUCAAGACACUUGGCUUCUCAAGACUAACAAAGUCGUCCACAAACAACCGUCUGUGUCCACUUGCCGAAGACCACGAAGCUGCAGAAGGGAAGGAAGAUACAGUCACUUAUAGUCUCGCCGAUCAGCUGAUUAUAGACACAAGCCCGGUCCCUCCCCUGUGGUACCCCGCGCCCCCUGGUUCCCUCCCCCCCCGACGCCCGGCUGCCCCCCACCGUAACCUGAGGCGCCGUGUGUUCUCCGGCGUGUCGUUCCAACAGGGCGCGUGGCUCCUCAUCCGUCUCAUCGCCGCCCCCCGUGACUGAGCUCCUGUAUAUAACGUGUGACCCCCGUGGGCGAGGCGACACACCUGCGUUUACUUACCUGCCGGGCCCACCACACCUGUCCCGUCUGUCCUGCCCGUGUGUGCUUGUACGCCCGUCGUGAGAGGUGAGUCAAGGUGUGAUGGUGUUUGCAGGUGUGAAAAGUAUUUGCAUGUGAACUUGUAUGAGUGAC